rnacentral:tRNA from 1 species
UUGGGUUGGCUCAGUGGUUAGAGCGCAGGUCUCUCGUAACCGAAAGGUCGCGGGAUCGAAUCCCGCUAUAGGCUGAAA